UACGUAGGGUGCGAGCGUUGUCCGGAAUUAUUGGGCGUAAAGAGCUCGUAGGCGGUCUGUCGCGUCGGUCGUGAAAACUUGGGGCUUAACCCUGAGCUUGCGGUCGAUACGGGCAUGACUGGAGUUCGGCAGGGGAGACUGGAAUUCCUGGUGUAGCGGUGAAAUGCGCAGAUAUCAGGAGGAACACCGGUGGCGGAGGCGGGUCUCUGGGCCGAUACUGACGCUGAGGAGCGAAAGCGUGGGGAGCGAACAGG
rnacentral:rRNA from 1 species